UACGAGGGGGGCGAGCGUUGUCCGGAAUUAUUGGGCGUAAAGAGCUCGUAGGCGGUUUGUCGCGUCUGCCGUGAAAACCCGAGGCUUAACCUCGUGGCUUGCGGUGGAUACGGGCAGACUAGAGGUAGGUAGGGGAGAAUGGAAUUCCCGGUGUAGCGGUGAAAUGCGCAGAUAUCGGGAGGAACACCGGUGGCGAAGGCGAGUCCCUGGACAACUCCUGACACUGAGGCACGAAAGCUAGGGGAGCAAACAGG
rnacentral:rRNA from 1 species